UAUAGUAUAUUAAUAUUAUACGCUCUGUAAUUAAUUUCAAAAACUGUUAUUUAUGUAUUAUAUAGACGCCUCCAGUAAUCAAUAUCAAUUAUUUUUAUGGUGGGGCGGGGCAGCCCAAGCAGACCAUACCACCGGCCCCCGCCAACAGUAAGCAUGAUAAGGUAAUUCUGUUUUUCACCUUUUAAUUGACGGAUUUUAUUUAUGUAGAUAACGAUGAAAAAAAAACAAAUAAAAAAGGACCACAAAAAAAACAGAAAAAACAGAAAAAACCGAGUAUGCAUAAUGAGUAUUUUUUUAUGUUUGUAAUUUCACUAACCUAAUUUUUUUAAUUUAUUUAAGAGUGCCACAUCUGUAAAAAAUUGCACUGGGGUGGAUGUAGGCUGAAGCCCCAGGCAAGAAAUGUCCAAAAAAAAAGUUAGUACCUAUAUACUUAUUAAAUAGUUGAUGUUUAUUGAAUUAAUGAAUAAUUAAUAUAUGUAUUUUGUUGUUUAACCAGAAUGUAAUAUAUGCCACGUUCCCCACAACGGAAAGUGUUGGUGGAGGCCCGAAAACAAGAAGACUACAACUCAAGAUUUGAGAGAAAUAAUUAGUCGGCGGCGCCAAAACAGAAGAGAUGAAGAUAUGCAUAUGCAGGUGGAUACCACUACCACCCCAACAGUGGAC